AUUGAACGCUGGCGGCAUGCUUUACACAUGCAAGUCGAACGGCAGCACGGGUGCUUGCACCUGGUGGCGAGUGGCGGACGGGUGAGUAAUACAUCGGAACGUGUCCUGAAGUGGGGGAUAACGCAUCGAAAGAUGUGCUAAUACCGCAUAUUCUCUGAGGAGGAAAGUAGGGGAUCGAAAGACCUUAUGCUUUUGGAGCGGCCGAUGUCUGAUUAGCUAGUUGGUAAGGUAAUGGCUUACCAAGGCGACGAUCAGUAGUUGGUCUGAGAGGACGACCAGCCACACUGGGACUGAGACACGGCCCAGACUCCUACGGGAGGCAGCAGUGGGGAAUUUUGGACAAUGGGCGCAAGCCUGAUCCAGCAAUGCCGCGUGAGUGAAGAAGGCCUCGGUUGUAAGCUCUUUCAGUCGAGAAGAAAAGGACUAGUGACUAAUAAUACAUAGUUCAUGACGGUAUCGACAGAAGAAGAC
rnacentral:rRNA from 1 species